GCUGAUUGGAUAAUUGAGAUAGAUUGUUACGCCUAUAUUGAUACUUGAUGUCCAAUCGAAUACCAGCAGACACCUGUCAGUAAAAACAAAAAUGCAGGCGUGGAUAUAUUAGAGAUUUAUUUGUGUAUUCGAUAUUUGAAAAAUAAGUUAGGUAAUCACUUUUCGUUUUCCCCUUUUCAGGUGAAUUUAUAUAACUGUUUUUACACUUUCUUAUUCAACAGAAAGGUAUUCAAAUAUGAGCGUUACCACAAGAUUUUUUUUAUAGCAAAUUGUGUUUUCCGGAACGUCCUACCUCUGAAAAAGUUGAAUCACACAAGUUUUAUCUACCAUGUACAUAAAGGAC
rnacentral:lncRNA from 1 species